rnacentral:tRNA from 1 species
GCCUUCAUGGUGUAGUGGUCAACAGGUUCGGCGCGUAGUCCAGAGGUCCGUGGUUAGAGUCCCGGUGAAGGCA